CAAUAGCGUAUAUUAAAGUUGUUGCGGUUAAAAAGCUCGUAGUUGGAGUUCUGCCAGGUGCCGCCUGUCCGCCCCAGUGGUGAGUACGUGGCGCGCAUUUGGCCCUUUCAAGGGGAGCGUAUCUGCACUUUAUUGUGUGGUGCGGGAUCCUUGACUUUUACUUUGAGGAAAUAGGAGUGUUCCAAGCAGGCUCUCGUCGUGCACAGCUCAGCAUGGAAUAAUAGCAUUGGACCUCGAUUCUAAGCUGUUGGUUGCCAGAAGCGAGGUAAUGAUGAAGAGGGAUAGUUGGGGGCAUUCGUAUUUAACUGUCAGAGGUGAAAUUCUUGGAUUUGUUAAAGCCGGACUACUGCGAAAGCAUCUGCCAUGGAUGUUUUCAUUGA
rnacentral:rRNA from 1 species